GGUUAUAACACUCAUAUAACACACUUCCUCAGUACACACAGUACGCACACUGCAUCAGAACACUCUUUCUUCACACGCAGCAGCACCAUUCAAACUAAACAUGAGCGGAGCCAACGCAGUCAUCAACUCCGCCAUUGAGAAGGCUGCUGACAUGGCAAAAGACAAAGUAGCCGACCUGAUGGGGGGAAAGGCUGAAGACAAGGAAGGAGGUGCAGGAGCAGCUGCAGGAGCAGGAGACCUUUUAUCUGGCCUGGCCAGCGGGCUGGGAGGCGGAGAGGCAGCGCCAGCGGCCGAAGGCGCCGGCAUUGGUGGCUUAGCGAAAAAGUUUGGCUUCUAAUCUCCUGGACCCUUCCUUCUACAUACUGGAAUAUAUAUAUGAAUAUAAAUUGAGAAAAACCACAAGCCUGGUACUUUGACUUGGAGAUCAACCAGCUGCUGUAUGCCAAAUUGUGGUCCAAAAUUGUUGUUUUCAUGAAAAUAAAAUAAAUAACAACAA